rnacentral:rRNA from 1 species
CCUACGGGGCGCAGCAGUGAGGAAUAUUGGUCACUGGACGAGAGUCUGAACCAGCCAAGUAGCGUGAAGGAUGACUGCCCUAUGGGUUGUAAACUUCUUUUAUAUGGGAAUAAAAUGUUCCACGUGUGGGAUUUUGUAUGUACCAUAUGAAUAAGGAUCGGCUAACUCCGUGCCAGCAGCCGCGGUAAUACGGAGGAUCCGAGCGUUAUCCGGCUUUAUUGGGUUUAAAGGGAGCGUAGGUGGAUUGUUAAGUCAGUUGUGAAAGUUUGCGGCUCAACCGUAAAAUUGCAGUUGAAACUGGCAGUCUUGAGUACAGUAGAGGUGGGCGGAAUUCGUGGUGUAGCGGUGAAAUGCUUAGAUAUCACGAAGAACUCCGAUUGCGAAGGCAGUUCACUGGACUGCAACUGACACUGAGGCUCGAAAGUGUGGGUAUCAAACAGGAUUAGAUACCCUUGUAGUC